GGUGCAGCGUUGGAACGAGUGUCACGGAGGUAGAGCUACCGAUAGGGCUAGGGGGUUUCACCACCUACCAACCACUGACGAACUCCGAAUGCCGUGACAUAUGUCCAGCAGUGAGGCGGUGGGUGCUAAGGUCCAUCGCCGAGAGGGGAACAACCCAGACCAUCAGCUAAGGUCCCUAAAUAUGCGUUAAGUUGAAUUAAACGAAGUGGAGAUGCUAUGACAGCUAGGAUGUUGGCUUGGAAGCAGCCAUUCAUUUAAAGAGUGCGUAACAGCUCACUAGUCGAGCGUUUCUGCGCGGAAAAUGAUCGGGCAUCAAACGCAUUACCGAAGCUAUGGUGGCGCCAAAAGCGCCAGGUAGGGGAGCAUUCCAGCGACAGCGAAGCUAUAUCGUGAGAUGUGGUGGAGUUUCUGGAAAAGAAAAUGUAGGCAUAAGUAACGAUAAUCCCGGUGAGAAACCGGGACGCCGUAAGAAUAAGGUUUCCUAGAUCUAUGCUAAUCAGAUCAGGGUUAGUCGGGUCCUAAGGUGUAGCCGAAAGGCGAAGCCGAUGGAAAGCCGGUUAAUAUUCCGGCACCUGUGUUUAUUGCGAUGGGGUGACGAAGCAGCGUAAAGCCCGCCAACUUACGGAAUAGUUGGUUGAAGUGCGUAGGCGUCGAUCCGGUAGGAAAAUCCGCCGGUGAGUCGAAACACGAUAGUACACGGAUCCCUCCGGGGUGAAGUGAUAGUGGCUCCAAGCAUACUUCCAAGAAAAACCCCUAAGCUUCAGAUAAAUACAGCCCGUACCGCAAACCGACACAGGUAUUCGAGGAGAGUAUCCUCAGGCGCUCGAGUGAGUCAUGGCUAAGGAACUAGGCAAAUUAGUCUCGUAACUUCGGGAAAAGAGACCCCCGUCGCAAGACGGGGCGCAGAGAAAUGGCCCAGGCGACUGUUUAACAAAAACACAGGACUCUGCAAAAUCGAAAGAUGACGUAUAGGGUCUGACACCUGCCCGGUGCUGGAAGGUUAAGGAAGGAGCUCAGCGCAAGCAAAGGUUCUGACUGAAGCCCCAGUAAACGGCGGCCGUAACUAUAACGGUCCUAAGGUAGCGAAAUUCCUUGUCGGGUAAGUUCCGACCUGCACGAAUGGUGUAACGAUCUGGGCACUGUCUCAGCCAUGAGCUCGGUGAAAUUGAAGUAUCGGUGAAGAUGCCGGUUACCCGCCACGGGACGAAAAGACCCCGUGCACCUUUACUAUAGCUUCACAUUGUGCUUGAAUAUAAGAUGUGUAGGAUAGGUGGGAGACUAUGAAGUUUCGCCGCUAGGCGGGAUGGAGUCGACGUUGAAAUACCACCCUUUUUAUAUUUAGGUUCUAAUCCCGUACCAACGGGAGACAGUGUGUGGUGGGUAGUUUGACUGGGGUGGUCGCCUCCUAAAGAGUAACGGAGGCUUGCAAAGGUACCCUCAGCAUGGUCGGUAAUCAUGCUUAGAGCGCAUUAGUACAAGGGUGCUUGACUGAGAGAUCGACGGAUCGAACAGGAACGAAAGUUGGCUAAAGUGAUCCGGUGGUUCCGCAUGGAAGGGCCAUCGCUCAAAGGAUAAAAGGUACGCCGGGGAUAACAGGCUGAUCUCCCCCAAGAGCUCAUAUCGACGGGGAGGUUUGGCACCUCGAUGUCGGUUCGUCACAUCCUGGGGCUGGAGAAGGUCCCAAGGGUUCGGCUGUUCGCCGAUUAAAGUGGCACGUGAACUGGGUUCAGAACGUCGCAAGACAGUUCGGUCUCUAUCUGUGGUGGGCGUUGUAACAUUGAAAGGAGCUGACUCUAGUACGAGAGGACCGAGUCGGACGUACCGCUAGUGUAUCUGUUGUGCCGCCAGGUGCAGCGCAGAGUAGCUAUGUACGGACUAGAUAAGCGCUGAAAGCAUCUAAGCGCGAAGCUAUCCUUAAGAUGAGUGUUACUUGGGGUCGUAGAAGACGACUACGUUGAUAGGCUACAGGUGGAAUCGUAGUAAUACGUUGAGCCGAGUAGUACUAAUUACCCCGUAACUUCCUUUU
rnacentral:rRNA from 1 species